rnacentral:rRNA from 1 species
AUUGAACGCUGGCGGCAGGCCUAACACAUGCAAGUCGAGCGUGCGGCGGACGGGUGAGUAAUGUCUGGGAAACUGCCUGAUGGAGGGGGAUAACUACCGGAAACGGUAGCUAAUACCGUAUACCAUCAGAUUUGCCCAGAUGGGAUUAGCUAGUAGGUGGGGUAACGGCUCACCUAGGCGACGAUCCAUAGCUGGUCUGAGAGGAAGACCAGCCACACUGGAACUGAGACACGGUCCAGACUCCUACGGGAGUCAGCAGUGGGGAAUCUUGCGCAAUGGGCGCAAGCCUGAUGCAGCCAGGCCGCGUGUGUGAAGAAGGCCUUCGGGUUGUAAAGCGCUUGCAGCGGGGAGGCGUUACCCGCAGAAGAAGCACCGGCUAACUCCGUGCCAGCAGCCGCGGUAAUAC